AAUGCCUCUUGGUAUUCAUAUCUCCAUGACUUUGAUUGACAUUUGAAGCAGCAAAUGACUUCUGCCUCACUUCCCCUCUUCUCAAUAUCACACGAGUGCAUCUAGUUAGCAAGAUCUGGUUGGCAUCCAGAAUCCUAUUGAGCGAAGUUCCAGAGGCAGAGUGGACUCCCUGGAGAUCACACAUCAAAAAUGUGGUCUUAAAGACAGACCCGGGGUCACGAAAACGUCCUUUCAAAAAGAAGAUGAGAAGAAGAGAGUGAGAGAGAGACAGAGAAUUCUCCUAUAUUUCUUCUAAAAGUUUUAAAGAUUGAGAUCUUUAAUCUACACGGAAUUGACUUUUGUGUGUGGUGUGAGACUAAAACCAACCUAAGACAACACUUAUGCCAGGACACCUGUACCACAAGGAGCUCAGGUUACACUGGAGAAGGGAAGAACGUAAGAAGUCCUGCCAUGUUCCUCUUGGCUUGAGUGGCCACCUCCUGAGACGCUGCCCUGUGGCAUAUGCUGAUGCAUUACUGGGUCCUUACGCCUGACAGCGCAGUGGUUAUGAGAAAUAUGUAUGGUUUUCCUUUCAUAUGAUGUAGUAGAAUAUUGCCAAUAAAAGGCACUUUUCACCCAC
rnacentral:lncRNA from 1 species